rnacentral:lncRNA from 1 species
GCCUCUCCUAGAGAUAAGGAAGGUUAUCCUGGGAUUACAAUUAAUCCUAAACUAACCAUAUCCGGAGUUGCCUAGUAUACUCUAACAUCCCCCCACAGUCACAAUGGGAGCGCGCAGAUGAUGAGACUGAAGAAUAGGCCAAAGAGAUGACAUCCCCCCGCAAUCGCAACCGUUAAUGCGUCGCAGAUGUUGUGGCUGGAAUGGGAGCCAAAGAGGCUUGUCAAGCAGAUGGUAGCCCCUUAGUGCUGAAGUAGCUGAGGUUGAGGUGGACGUGAUCGAAGCCGUGGAGGAGGGCGCGAGUCAAAAGCGUCAGCGAAGGCGCCUGAAUACACAAAAGCAACAGCUUUUUAUCGACAGGGUUAGCAGGACGAUGAGCUGAGCGUGAUGGUAGAUGGUGCAGCUAAAGAGCGCAAUUGCAUCUUCCUUCAGCAGCGUCGGCGGCGGUGUCCACGAGCGUAUGCCAAUAGGUGCGGACUCGGACCGAGAGCCAGCGUGAUGAGGACCAGCAGCAUCGAUGGCGCCACCGCCUGAAAAGGCGGCGUCGCCGACGAGGAUGGCUUGAUCACGAGCGUUGCCAUAGCAGCCUCAAGGGCACAACAACAACCUCAUCUUCGGGAGUGUUGACAAUGAAGCAAUGAUGGGACGGCAGGGCGACCCAACCCAAUCUCUGAUCGGGAAAAAGAAAAACAGCAGCAGCAGGAAGAGGCCCACGGAGAACCGGUCUGACUGGCAUCUCCGAUCGUGUUGGUCGGAGCGAUCGGAUGCGCCGGUCGGAGGUGCCGACAGAGCGG